rnacentral:rRNA from 1 species
UGAGACACGGACCAGACUCCUACGGGAGGCAGCAGUGAGGAAUAUUGGUCAAUGGGCGAGAGCCUGAACCAGCCAAGUCGCGUGAGGGAAGACGGCCCUACGGGUUGUAAACCUCUUUUGUCAGGGAGCAAGAACAGGCACGCGUGCCUGACUGAGAGUACCUGAAGAAAAAGCAUCGGCUAACUCCGUGCCAGCAGCCGCGGUAAUACGGAGGAUGCGAGCGUUAUCCGGAUUUAUUGGGUUUAAAGGGUGCGUAGGCGGACUGCCAAGUCAGCGGUAAAAUUGCGGGGCUCAACCCCGUCGAGCCGUUGAAACUGGUGGUCUUGAGUGGGCGAGAAGUACGCGGAAUGUGUGGUGUAGCGGUGAAAUGCAUAGAUAUCACGCAGAACUCCGAUUGCGAAGGCAGCGUACCGGCGCCCAACUGACGCUGAAGCACGAAAGCGUGGGUAUCGAACAGGAUUAGAUACCCUGGUAGUCCACGCAGUAAACGAUGAAUGCUAGCUGUCCGGGACGAAUGAGUCCUGGGUGGCACAGCGAAAGCGUUAAGCAUUCCACCUGGGGAGUACGCCGGCAACGGUGAAACUCAAAGGAAUUGACGGGGGCCCGCACAAGCGGAGGAACAUGUGGUUUAAUUCGAUGAUACGCGAGGAACCUUACCCGGGCUCAAACGCACUACGAAUGAUGCUGAAAGGUGUCAGCCAGCAAUGGCGUAGUGCGAGGUGCUGCAUGGUUGUCGUCAGCUCGUGCCGUGAGGUGUCGGCUUAAGUGCCAUAACGAGCGCAACCCCUACCGACAGUUGCUAACUGGUCAAGCAGAGGACUCUGUCGGGACUGCCGGCGCAAGCUGUGAGGAAGGCGGGGAUGACGUCAAAUCAGCACGGCCCUUACGUCCGGGGCGACACACGUGUUACAAUGGCAGGUACAGCGGGAAGCCACCUGGCGACAGGGAGCGGAACCCGAAAACCUGUCUCAGUUCGGAUUGGAGUCUGCAACCCGACUCCAUGAAGCUGGAUUCGCUAGUAAUCGCGCAUCAGCCAUGGCGCGGUGAAUACGUUCCCGGGCCUUGUACACACCGCCCGUCAAGCCAUGGGAGCCGGGGGUACCUGAAGUGCGUUACCGCAAGGAGCGCCCUAAGGUAAAACUGGUGACUGGGGCUAAGUCGUAACAAGGUAGCCGU